GCCAGGCGCGGUGGCUCACGCCUGUAAUCCCAACACUUUGGGAGGCCGAGGCGGGUGGAUCACCUGAGGCCAGGAGUUUGAGACCAGCCUGGCCAACAUGGUGAAACCCUGCCUCUA
rnacentral:SRP_RNA from 1 species